GAUAUUGUGGAAUCCAGGUAAGGGACGAUAUGACCUUUAACCACUGCACAGACCCUUCUGUCUUCAGUUAUCUAAGUAAGUGAUGAGGCAAUCCAUACCACCUUUGGUACCAUGUUUCCUUGCAGGCAUUCAGGUAAGAAAUGACAGUCUGCUUACCAAUCCUACUCAUCGUGCAGUCUUAGCAUUUGCUACCUCAGAGACUCGGGAUGGCCAGCACUGGUAGUAGUGAGGGAGGGAUUCAGGGUAUCCAGAUAAGUUAUCAUCGUGUUCCUCACCAAAGCGAUGACCAUGGGAUAUUUGCAGUGCAGUCAAAAGAUCCUUUUGCUUCUAAUUUCAGUGCUGACCUUGGAUUUCUGCAAGUUGUCAGGUUAGUUGAAGGGACUCACAAUGGGAGAAGUGGCCAAUGUUUCCUUAGGGUAUCCAGGUUGAAAAAGAAGUGUUCUUCAACACAUCUCACUGCGCGCUUUUCAGUUUCCAGUCCAGACAUCCUAUGUAAGCUGCAAUGGCCAUUAACUCUGGACACUGCUGGAAUUCAGGGAAGGGAUGAUGUGGGCCUUAGCCACAGUACAGACCACCUGAGCCUUCCGAUAGCUAGGUCAAGACAAUUAGGUUUCCCUGACUACAGUUUUGACUGUGGAAUUCUGCUACUCUCCAGGUUGAUGUCAAGAUAUCCUGAUGAACCUGACAAGGGUUGUUAAUGUGGGAUGUGGCUGCUAUCCAGGUAAAUGAUUGCAAGGAACUGAACCACAGCAUAGACCCUCUGAUCUUCAGCU